rnacentral:rRNA from 1 species
UACAGAGGUCCCAAGCGUUUGUUCGGAUUCAUUGGGCGUAAAGGGUGCGUAAGGCGGCGCGGUAAGUCGGGUGUGAAAUCUCGGGGCUUAACUCCGAAACUGCAUUCGAUACUGCCGUGCUUGAGGACUGGAGAGGAGACUGGAAUUUACGGUGUAGCGGUGAAAUGCGUAGAUAUCGUAAGGAAGACCAGUGGCGAAGGCGGGUCUCUGGACAGUUCCUGACGCUGAGGCACGAAGGCCAGGGGGAGCAAACGGG